rnacentral:rRNA from 1 species
CAGCCGCCGCGGGAAAACGGAGGGGGCUAGCGUUGUUCGGAAUUACUGGGCGUAAAGCGCACGUAGGCGGCUUUGUAAGUCAGAGGUGAAAGCCCGGGGCUCAACCCCGGAAUUGCCUUUGAGACUGCAUCGCUUGAAUCCAGGAGAGGUGAGUGGAAUUCCGAGUGUAGAGGUGAAAUUCGUAGAUAUUCGGAAGAACACCAGUGGCGAAGGCGGCUCACUGGACUGGUAUUGACGCUGAGGUGCGAAAGCGUGGGGAGCAAACAGGAUUAGAUACCCCCGUAGUCCCUGUCUCUUAUAC